GACGAACGCUGGCGGCGUGCUUAACACAUGCAAGUCGAACGGAAAGGCCCUGCUUUUGUGGGGUGCUCGAGUGGCGAACGGGUGAGUAACACGCGAGUAACCUGCCCUUGACUUUGGGAUAACUUCAGGAAACUGGGGCUAAUACCGGAUAGGAGCUCCUGCUGCAUGGUGGGGGUUGGAAAGUUUCGGCGGUUGGGGAUGGACUCGCGGCUUAUCAGCUUGUUGGUGGGGUAGUGGCUUACCAAGGCUUUGACGGGUAGCCGGCCUGAGAGGGUGACCGGCCACAUUGGGACUGAGAUACGGCCCAGACUCCUACGGGAGGCAGCAGUGGGGAAUAUUGCACAAUGGGCGGACGCCUGAUGCAGCAACGCCGCGUGCGGGAUGACGGCCUUCGGGUUGUAAACCGCUUUCGCCUGUGGCGAAGCGUGAGUGACGGUAAUGGGUAAAGAAGCACCGGCUAACUACGU
rnacentral:rRNA from 1 species